rnacentral:rRNA from 1 species
CAGUCGCCGCGGUAAUACGUAGGUGGCGAGCGUUGUCCGGAAUUAUUGGGCGUAAAGGGAGCGCAGGCGGGCGAGUAAGUCUUUCUUAAAAGUGCGGGGCUCAACCCCGUGAGGGGAGAGAAACUACUCAUCUUGAGUGCAGGAGAGGAAAGCGGAAUUCCUAGUGUAGCGGUGAAAUGCGUAGAUCUCGAGAGGAACACCAAUGGCGAAGGCAGCUUCUUAGUCCAUUCCUGACGUUCAUACACGAAAGCGUGGGGAGCAAACAGGAUUAGAUACCCCCGUAGUCCCUGUCUCUUAUACC